rnacentral:misc_RNA from 1 species
UUUUUUUUUUUUUUUUCUGUUUAUAGAAUGUGAAGAUAUAGUAUUAUUUUUCAAUUUCUUUUUUUUAUUUAUCUAUUUUCACUAUAUUUUCAAUGUGAAAAUUUUUAUUUUAUGAAAAGAAAAAAUUGUUUUUCUCAUCCUAGGUUGACUUUUUAAAUGUUUACCAAAUUUAUGCACGAAUGAGAACUACUUUUAGGUUGCGUUUGAUUAAGUGCUUUUUCCUUGCAUGAAAUUAAGAAAAAAAAAAUUCUAAUUAAAGUAGGAGAAAUAUAUUUCUCAAUUAGAUAAAAAAAUUAUUUCCUAUAUAGUUUAGAACUCUUAUUUUAGUAUUAU